GUGUCAGCAGCCGCGGUAAUACGGAGGAUCCAAGCGUUAUCCGGAAUCAUUGGGUUUAAAGGGUCCGUAGGCGGUCUUAUAAGUCAGUGGUGAAAGCCCAUCGCUCAACGAUGGAACUGCCAUUGAUACUGUAAGACUUGAAUGCUUAGGAAGUAACUAGAAUAUGUAGUGUAGCGGUGAAAUGCUUAGAUAUUACAUGGAAUACCAAUUGCGAAGGCAGGUUACUACUAAGUGAUUGACGCUGAUGGACGAAAGCGUGGGGAGCGAACAGGAUUAGAAACCCUCGUAGUCC
rnacentral:rRNA from 1 species